GUCCUCAGUCAGCACGUCAACCAAUCUUUUUCUUUGCUCCCGAGAACCUCUUCUCUCUACUGCUCUCGAUGGCGUCUUCGAGAUCUUCAUCGCUCGUCUGCAUCGCCCUUCUUUUCGUGAGCAUUACCAGCUCCGAAGCAAGAGACUUCUUGGUCGGAGGCAAUGUCAACGCGUGGAGAGUCCCACCCACCACCACCGAUUCCCUCAACCAAUGGGCCGAGAAGAACCGGUUCCAAGUAGGCGACUCCCUCGUUUGGAGGUACGACGCCGGAAAGGACUCUGUGCUGCAGGUGACCAGGGAGGCGUACCUGAGCUGCAAAAAGACGAGCCCGAUAGCGGAGCACAAGAACGGGGCGACCGUGGUGGAGCUGCAUCGGUCGGGGGCGUACUACUUCAUCAGUGGGGCGGAAGGGGCGUGCGAGGAGGGGGAGAAGCUAAUCGUGGUCGUGAUGUCGGAGCGGCACUCGCUUCGCGGCCUCGCUCCGGCUCCCUCCCCCGCAGAGUACUCCGAAGGCCCAGCGAUCGCACCAACCAGCGGCGCUUCGAGGAUGGAGAAGGUCCUGAAGAGUAGCGUUGCAGGCGCUCUGCUGGUUCUGGGGAUUGUACUGUGACAGAGAGUGACUGCGUUCGUUAGUCCUUGGUGAUGCGCAUCAUGAGUCUUGAUCCAUCACCUUCCUCGCCUCGGCUCACGUCCGAUGGCCGCGCGUCCACGGGGAACGGGUCAAACGGCGACGUGUCACAUGCAGCAUGCACUCGCGCUUGCUGCAGGACGAGCUAUAACAAAAUCUGAGAAGCGGAGGAAGCACAGACGAGAGACGAGCAAGCGAGCGAGCAGAUGAGCAGCGUGAAAGAAUCGAUGAGCAGCAGCGAGGAGAGGAUAGG